CCCUUAGAUGUUCUGGGCCGCACGCGCGCUACACUGACGAAUGCAACGAGCUUAUAACCUUGGCCGAAAGGUCUGGGUAAUCUCCAAAUUUCGUCGUGAUGGGGAUAGAUUAUUGCAAUUAUUAAUCUUCAACGAGGAAUGCCUAGUAAGCGCAAGUCAUCAGCUUGCGUUGAUUACGUCCCUGCCCUUUGUACACACCGCUCGUCGCUCCUACCGAUUGAAUGGUCCGGUGAAGCGUUCGGACCGUGGCCUUUGGACGGUUCGCCGUCUGUUGGCUGCGGGAAGUUCGUUAAACCUUAUCAUUUAGAGGAAGGAGAANUCGUAACA
rnacentral:rRNA from 1 species